rnacentral:rRNA from 1 species
GGAAUCUCUGGUGUAGCGGUGAAAUGCGUAGAUAUCAGAAGGAACAUCGAUGGCGAAGGCAGCUUUCUGGACCAAUACUGACGCUGAGGUACGAAAGCGUGGGUAGCAAACAGGAUUAGAUACCCUGGUAGUCCACGCCGUAAACGAUGAUAACUAGCCGUUGGGAGGGUUUACCUCUUAGUGGCGAAGCUAACGCGUUAAGUUAUCCGCCUGGGGAGUACGGCCGCAAGGCUAAAACUCAAAGGGAUUGACGGGGACCCGCACAAGCGGUGGAGCAUGUGGUUUAAUUCGAUGCAACGCGAAGAACCUUACCUGGUCUUGACAUACAGAGAACUUUCCAGAGAUGGAUUGGUGCCUUCGGGAACUCUGAUACAGGUGCUGCAUGGCUGUCGUCAGCUCGUGUCGUGAGAUGUUGGGUUAAGUCCCGUAACGAGCGCAACCCUUAUCCUUAUUUGCCAGCACUUCGGGUGGGAACUAUAAGGAGACUGCCGGUGAUAAACCGGAGGAAGGCGGGGACGACGUCAAGUCAUCAUGGCCCUUACGACCAGGGCUACACACGUGCUACAAUGGGAAGGACAAAGGGUCGCUAAGCCGCGAGGUGGUGCUAAUCUCAUAAACCUUUUCGUAGUCCGGAUCGGAGUCUGCAACUCGACUCCGUGAAGUCGGAAUCGCUAGUAAUCGUGGAUCAGAACGCCACGGUGAAUACGUUCCCGGGUCUUGUACACACCGCCCGUCAUACCAUGGGAGUGGGUUGCACCAGAAGUGGGUAG